CCCUUAGAUGUCCUGGGCCGCACGCGCGCUACACUGAUGCAUGCAACGAGUUUAUAACCUUGGCCUGAAAGGUCUGGGUAAUCUUUUGAACGUGCAUCGUGAUAGGGAUAGAUUAUUGCAAUUGUUAAUCUUGAACGAGGAAUUCCUAGUAAACGCGAGUCAUCAGCUCGCAUUGAUUACGUCCCUGCCCUUUGUACACACCGCCCGUCGCACCUACCGAUUGAAUGGUUCGGUGAAGAUCUCGGACUUCGAUAUAUAUUCUUUAUUGAGUUUAUAUUGUGGGAAGUUAUCUAAACCUCAUCAUUUAGAGGAAGGUGAAGUCGUAACA
rnacentral:rRNA from 1 species